UAAUUGCGCGUCAACUUGUGAACUGCAGGACACAUGAACAUCGACAUUUCGAACGCACAUUGCGGUCCACGGAUACAAUUCCCGGACCACGUCUGGCUGAGGGUCGUUCAAUAAUAAACAACCAGACUGCUUGCCCUCGUUGGCAAGCGAAUGCCUGGGCGCAUCGUCGCGUUCACAUCGGCAAUCUAACGCUUUUCGGCUCUGUCCGCUUGCGCGUCUGUUGCCCGUGUGUGAUAAUCGGCGUCGCUCUAAAUGAACGAACACUAUGCGAGAGUACGAGGGGCAGACCGAGGAGCCGCCUAGGCCCAACGUGUCCGGCGCUUGUGUCCUCGCGCGUCUAAUGUCUUGUGCGCACGCACAAUGGCAGCGCGCGACGGCGUAACGACGAACCCAUUCGCUCGUCCGAGUCCCGGAGCUCUUGUGCGAGCGGACCGACUUGCGAAUUCGUCCGCGCUUAUCUCGAUAUUUCUCACGAGAGAAAUUCGAGUGUGUGACGUUUGGUGCCUUGCGCGCGCUUUACUCGCGCUUGUCUGUCGCUCGAUGAAACUCACCGAGUGUUCACCAGUCGAAAGCAAUGCGCGUGAGCGCAUUGUGGCGUGCCUUGCGCGCACGCCUUUUUUAUAUAAUUUCAUUAACGACGACCUCAGAGCAGGCGAGAUUA
rnacentral:rRNA from 1 species